rnacentral:rRNA from 1 species
UGGGGAAUUUUGGACAAUGGGGGAAACCCUGAUCCAGCCAUCCCGCGUGUGCGAUGAAGGCCUUCGGGUUGUAAAGCACUUUUGGCAGGAAAGAAACGUCAUGGGUUAAUACCCCGUGAAACUGACGGUACCUGCAGAAUAAGCACCGGCUAACUACGUGCCAGCAGCCGCGGUAAUACGUAGGGUGCAAGCGUUAAUCGGAAUUACUGGGCGUAAAGCGUGCGCAGGCGGUUCGGAAAGAAAGAUGUGAAAUCCCAGAGCUCAACUUUGGAACUGCAUUUUUAACUACCGGGCUAGAGUGUGUCAGAGGGAGGUGGAAUUCCGCGUGUAGCAGUGAAUGCGUAGAUAUGCGGAGGAACACCGAUGGCGAAGGCAGCCUCCUGGGAUAACACUGACGCUCAUGCACGAAAGCGUGGGGAGCAAACAGG